AUAGUACUCCCUCCGUUCGGAAUUACUUGUCGUAGAAAUGGAUGUAUCUAGACAUUUUUUAGUUCUAGAUACAUCCAUUUCUGCGACAAGUAAUUCGGGACGGAGGGAGUAGUAU
rnacentral:pre_miRNA from 1 species